rnacentral:lncRNA from 1 species
UGAGUGAUCACAGUUUUUGAGAAUCACGAUGAGGCAUUAAGAGGAGAAGUGUCCCAAGGGAGGUGAGCUGGAGGCAAAGCAAGAGCCACGCUCUACUUCCCUUUGUCUACUAAUACAAAACUUAAU